rnacentral:rRNA from 1 species
CCCUUGAUCUUAGUUGCCAGCAUUCAGUUGGGCACUCUAAGGUGACUGCCGGUGACAAACCGGAGGAAGGUGGGGAUGACGUCAAAUCAUCAUGCCCCUUAUGACCUGGGCUACACACGUGCUACAAUGGACAGAACAAAGGGCAGCGAAACCGCGAGGUUAAGCCAAUCCCACAAAUCUGUUCUCAGUUCGGAUCGCAGUCUGCAACUCGACUGCGUGAAGCUGGAAUCGCUAGUAAUCGCGGAUCAGCAUGCCGCGGUGAAUACGUUCCCGGGCCUUGUACACACCGCCCGUAAACUCAGAUGAAUUGACG